GCAUAUCAAUAAGCGGAGGAAAAGAAACCAACAGGGAUUGCCCUAGUAACGGCGAGUGAAGCGGCAACAGCUCAAAUUUGAAAUCUGGCCCUCGGGUCCGAGUUGUAAUUUGUAGAGGAUGCUUUUGGUGCGGCGCCUUCCGAGUUCCCUGGAACGGGACGCCAUAGAGGGUGAGAGCCCCGUCUGGUUGGACGCCAAUCCUCUGUAAAGCUCCUUCGACGAGUCGAGUAGUUUGGGAAUGCUGCUCUAAAUGGGAGGUAUAUGUCUUCUAAAGCUAAAUACCGGCCAGAGACCGAUAGCGCACAAGUAGAGUGAUCGAAAGAUGAAAAGCACUUUGAAAAGAGAGUUAAAAAGUACGUGAAAUUGUUGAAAGGGAAGCGCUUGUGACCAGACUUGGGCUCGGUUGAUCAUCCUGGGUUCUCCCGGGUGCACUCUUCCAGCCCAGGCCAGCAUCAGUUCGCCGCGGGGGACAAAAGCUUCGGGAAUGUGGCUCCCUCGGGAGUGUUAUAGCCCGCUGCGCAAUACCCUGCGGUGGACUGAGGUUCGCGCUCCGCAAGGAUGCUGGCGUAAUGGUCACCAGUGACCCGUCUUGAAACACGGACCAAGGAGUCGUCUUCGUAUGCGAGUGUUCGGGUGUUAAACCCCUACGCGGAAUGAAAGUGAACGCAGGUGAGAGCUUCGGCGCAUCACCGACCGAUCCUGAUGUUCUCGGAUGGAUUUGAGUAAGAGCAUACGGGGCCGGACCCGAAAGAAGGUGAACUAUGCCUGUAUAGGGUGAAGCCAGAGGAAACUCUGGUGGAGGCUCGCAGCGGUUCUGACGUGCAAAUCGAUCGUCAAAUAUGGGCAUGGGGGCGAAAGACUAAUCGAACCUUCUAGUAGCUGGUUCCGCCGAA
rnacentral:rRNA from 1 species